rnacentral:lncRNA from 1 species
AUAUUAUACAAUUACUGUCUUUUGAUGAGGUAAAUGUGUAGUUUUAUUGACUUUUGAAAAACUGAUAUUCACUGAGGCCAAUGGUCGAAGUGAAUAUCAGUUUUUCAAAAGUCAAUUAAACCACAUAUUUACCGAAACAAAAGACAGUAAUGGUUUUAUUCCAUAUUCAGAGAGAAAUGUAUGUAAUGGCAAUCAUUAACCAAAACCAAUUGUACAUCAAUCGUUUUUUUACCAAAAUAGUGCAGGUAAAAGCACGAGACGUUAUGCGCGGUGAAUAUCCUUUUUCCGCAGGUGAAUAUGCUUAUUUAUUCAAAAUCCCAUUCAUAUAGAAAAACCUACUAAAGUUUUAUCAAUAUGGAAUAUUAUUACAUUGGUUGCAAUGAAUUACAUUGAUUUCCCAGUUAGAUAAAAACCGAUAAUUUCACAUGUGAAAUAAACGUGGUUAUUUCACUCUCUGACGUCAUACAACAAUAGGCGUUGUCAAGACGUCGAUAACGUCGGAUCAAAACAAAUUGUCAAUGCGUAGGGAAAAGAUAUAGUUCCUUACAUUUUCUACAUUGAUUUCAUAAAAAAAAGCCAUUUGCCAAUGUAAUAAAAAGAAUAACUAAUCGCCGUAUUUGAAUAUAAAAAAUAAGACAACGUGUGACCGAACG